rnacentral:rRNA from 1 species
UACGUAGGGGGCAAGCGUUGUCCGGAUUUAUUGGGCGUAAAGAGCUCGUAGGCGGUUUGGUAAGUCUGGUGUGAAAUCUCCACGCUCAACGUGGAGGGGCCACCCGAUACUGCCAUGACUGGAGUCCGGUAGAGGAGUGUGGAAUUCCCGGUGUAGCGGUGAAAUGCGCAGAUAUCGGGAGGAACUCCGGUGGCGAAGGCGGCAUACUGGACCACCACUGACGCUGAUGCGCGAAAGCCAGGGGAGCAAACGGG